UACGGCCACAUCACACUGAAACACCGGUUCUCGUACAAUCACUGAAGUUAAGCAACGCCGAACCUAGUCAUGACUGUGAUGGGGGACCACUUGGGAAUACCGGGAGCUGAA